AUCUCUGAGGAUAGAUGAUUUCAUACUGUGCCAUCGAUGGAUGAUUCGAGUAUCUCAUCAUAUGCCCAGCACACCUCAUAUCUUGACUUUUCGAAUUUUGACCUCCCCAUAGAUGAUGCAUCUAUGUCAUAUAAGAUUAGUGAGCCAGGAGACAUAUCGCAUGGAUCCGAUGAGCAGCACGUCAAUCAUGCGCAUGGGAGGACCAAAGACAGGGGU
rnacentral:lncRNA from 1 species